GACGAACGCUGGCGGCGUGCCUAACACAUGCAAGUCGAGCGAUGAAACUCCUUCGGGAGUGGAUUAGCGGCGGACGGGUGAGUAACACGUGAGUAACCUGCCUCAAAGUGGGGGAUAGCCUUCCGAAAGGAAGAUUAAUACCGCAUAAUAUCAGAUGAUCGCAUGGUCGACUGAUUAAAGAUUUAUUGCUUUGAGAUGGACUCGCGGCGCAUUAGCUAGUUGGUGAGGUAACGGCUCACCAAGGCAACGAUGCGUAGCCGACCUGAGAGGGUGAUCGGCCACAUUGGGACUGAGACACGGCCCAGACUCCUACGGGAGGCAGCAGUGGGGAAUAUUGCGCAAUGGGCGAAAGCCUGACGCAGCAACGCCGCGUGAGUGAUGAAGGUCUUCGGAUUGUAAAGCUCUGUCUUCAGGGACGAUAAUGACGGUACCUGAGGAGGAAGCCACGGCUAACUACGUG
rnacentral:rRNA from 1 species